UACGUAGGGGGCAAGCGUUGUCCGGAAUCAUUGGGCGUAAAGAGCGUGUAGGCGGUUCGGUAAGUCGGCUGUGAAAGUCCAGGGCUCAACCCUGGGAUGCCGGUCGAUACUGCCGGACUAGAGUUCGGAAGAGGCGAGUGGAAUUCCCGGUGUAGCGGUGAAAUGCGCAGAUAUCGGGAGGAACACCUAUGGCGAAGGCAGCUCGCUGGGACGUUACUGACGCUGGGACGCGAAAGCGUGGGGAGCAAACAGG
rnacentral:rRNA from 1 species